rnacentral:rRNA from 1 species
UACAGAGGGUGCAAACGUUGCUCGGAAUCAUUGGGCGUAAAGCGCACGUAGGCGGUUUGUUAUGUCGGAUGUGAAAGCCCUUGGCUCAACUGAGGAAGUGCAUCCGAAACUGGCAAGCUAGAGUAUGUAAGAGGGUCGCGGAAUUCCCGGUGUAGAGGUGAAAUUCGUAGAUAUCGGGAGGAACACCGGUGGCGAAGGCGGCGACCUGGGACAAUACUGACGCUGAGGUGCGAAAGCGUGGGGAGCAAACAGG